UACGAAGGGGGCUAGCGUUGUUCGGAAUUACUGGGCGUAAAGCGCACGUAGGCGGAUUUGUUCGUCAGGGGUGAAAUCCCGGGGCUCAACCUCGGAACUGCCUUUGAUACUGCAAGUCUCGAGUCCGGAAGAGGUGAGUGGAAUUCCUAGUGUAGAGGUGAAAUUCGUAGAUAUUAGGAAGAACACCAGUGGCGAAGGCGGCUCACUGGUCCGGUACUGACGCUGAGGUGCGAAAGCGUGGGGAGCAAACGGG
rnacentral:rRNA from 1 species